AGAGUGUAGUCUAGGCUCAAUCUCUAGUACAAAACAAGAAACAAACAAACAAAAUCAAAACUAUAUUUUGCUGGGAUAUAAGAAAGCAAUUAAGUUGUGUAUUUUAAUCUUGUGUCCUUAGACUUUGCUACCAGACAUAUUUAUUCAUGUCAGUAGUUGUUCUGUUUUCUCCCCUAUGUUGAAAAUCAUGUAAUCUGUGAACAAAACAGUUUUAUUUUUUUAUUUUUUACUUUCUAAUAGGAUUAUCCAGUUGUCUUCUCUUGUAUUUUUUACACUAGAAAAAAUUCUAGUAUGAUGAAGAAUAAGAGUGUUAAAAGAGCAUGCACAUGAAUUUUUCAAUCUUUAUGGAAAAUGAUGUCAACUAUUUUGGUUUGGAUCUGAAAUAUCCCUGACAAGCUCACAAUUUGAAGACUUGAUCCCAAUACUGCAAUGAUCAGAGGAAGAGGGAAAUUGGUACUCAUAUACAAAAAGAAAACUGCAUGCUGCAAUGGAAGAAUAGGUGGAAUUUACAGAGGUGCAAAACAAGAAAAAGGAAGGAUUGCCAGCACCGUGGGAAGCUGAGAGAAAGACACAAAACUGCUUCUCCCCAAAAACUUCAAGACAGCAUUGCCUGCUAAUACUUCUUAUGGACUUCUGAACUUCAGAAUAAAUUUCUGAGUUUUAAGCCAAUCAAUUUGUGGUAUUUUGUUAUGGCAGCCCUAAGAAACUAACAGGAAAUCAAACAGACCUACAAAACACUCCACGGAAACACAGAUUACAGAUACUUUUCAAGUACAUUUGGAAUAUUUCCCAGGAUAGUUUAUAUAUGAGGCCAUCAAAAAGUCCCCAAUAAAAUAAAAAAUGUUGUUUUUAUCAAACAAAAUACAUUUCUUCUUCACACAGAAACGAAAGUAGAAAUAACAGGAAAAAAAUUGGGAAAAUUUAUAAAUACAUGGAAAUUAAGUAAUAAAUUCCUAAUUAGUCUAAGGUUCAAAGAAGAAAUCACAAAGGAAAUGAGAAAAUACUUUGAUGUCAAUGAAAACGAAGGCAAACAUACCCAAACUAAUGGGAUGCAAUUAAAACAGUGCUCAGAGGGAAAUGUGAAGCUGUAAAUCCCCACAUUAGAAAAAAAAAAAAAAUCUCAAGUCAAUAACAUAAACUUCCACAUUAUGACACUUGAAAAAGAAGAGUCAAAUAAACCCAAAUCAAGCAGAGAGAAGGAAAUAAUAUAGAUUAGUGUGGAGUUCAUGAAAUAGACAACAGAGAAAAUACAACAGAGAAAAAUUAACAAUACUGAGUUGGUUCUUUAUAAAGAUCAGUGCAAUGGAAAAUUCAGAGUGAUCAAGAAAAAGAGAAAGAAGGUUCAAAUUACUAAAAAUCAGAAGCACAAUGGGGGACAUUACUGAUGAUGUUACAAAAACUAAAAGAAUUAUAAGGGAGUACUGUGAACAGUUAUGUACCAAAAGGCUCUCAAAAGUCAAAGAAAAAAAAAGAAUCACGAAGUUACCACUACUGAAUUAACAUUUUACAUGAUGUAAUAUAACCAAACUAGCAUUAUUGUACUACUCAUUUGUUCAGUAUCAUUUUAUUUCUUCAAAGAAUUUUAUGACUCAAUAUCAUAGUAAGUUAAUUUCCAAUUUUUUAAAAAUUACACAUGUAAGUUUUAUCAAAACAAAAAUUGUGGGUUGUUCAUGUUUCUCAGGAUCUUGCUCCAAUGCAUGUUUUCAGAGAAACAAGUUUUCUAUGAUAAGCAAGUUUCCAAAACUUCAUCCUUCACAGUUAGAAUCUGUCCCUGGAAGUAGUCUUUGUCAAGUUGCUCAUGACUAGACUGUAUCCUAUUUUUAUAUCAGGGGUGGCAUCAAAAACUUCUAAAUUCCUUACCAAGGUAAUUGUGGAAUCGAUUUCCUCCCCUAUCCUUAUUUUUCUAAAAAUUUGGGUCACAUUUUUCUCCUAUAUGCAACUAAUUAAUAUUAGGAUAGAACAAGGACUUGGUAUUCUAAGGAAGAGAUUCUACUUACUAAAGUUAUAAAUAGAUUGGACUACAUUUAAAACACUCUGAUCCAGAACAGCACAGGUGAGUCUGGGAAACAUGAAAGCAAGAACAUUUAUUUCUUUUGUCUUUUCUCUUUAAUUUUUAACUUCUUUCUACACCAUUUCAUGAAAAUAAUAUGAACUCAUGGUUCAUGAUAGGAAAGCUUGAAAAUUUGGAAAGAUACUCAAGACAAAAAAUCUAAUUUCACCUGAUACCAAUGCUGUUAACAUUCUACUACUUUUAGUACUCGUUUCAAUUCUCCCAUUUCGCUACUACACACAUACUCACAUAACAAUACACUCAUGGAUACUCGCAUACAUGAUUUGUAUAGAUUACCCUUCUCAAUUAGCCUGAAAAUCAUGUUUCCUAUCCCAUGGAGAUACUUAAAAAUCAUUAAAAGCAUUAAUCAAUAGUCCAAUAUAUAUUACUAUUGUAUAUCUCUAAUCAGAAUUUUUCUUCUUUCAUUUAUUAGUUCCUAUGAAAGCUAACAGAAAUAAGAUAAUAGAAAUAUCUUAUCCCAGAUAUCCAUAAUGUGUAAUCAAAGGUGAGUAAACCUGAAAAUGGAAAGACAGCAAGGCUGAAGUUUUAUCACUGGGAUCUCAAUGUAGUUGCUUACCUGAAGUUUGGAAAUAAGGAUGUUGAUUUGGGCUUCAGUACAUUAUAAAAACAUUCCAUGUCAAGGUACCCACCUGCAAGUUCAGAGCCCAGUUUGGUAAUAUGCCCCAGGAUGUUUAUCUUCCACACUUCUUCUCCCUCUCAGAUCAGAAUAAGGGAUGUUUAAUUCUUGAUUCAUCUCUUUAAUGUUAUUUCAUAAAAUUAAUGGACUUCUCAUUGAUUUUUUUUCUUAAUCUGAGGAAUAAGGCUUAAUUCUUAUAGGCUAAUUAAUGGCAUUUUGUUUUAGAAGGACACAGCAUUUGGAAUAUUGUUAAAUAAAUUACCUUUUUUAUCUUUCAAAUCAUAGAUAAUCAUAUAGUUAAAUCAUAUCUCAUGUCUACAUGUUUAAAUCCACUCUGCACAAAGCUCUACCCUGAUCUUGGUACUGAGAGGAAUGUUCAUGCUGCAUUGUCCAGAUUUCUAUAUAUCCUGGCUUCCAAUUGACCUCACCCUCUCAAUAAAUUUAAGAAGCAUUUUUUUAUCUUUUUUUAAAAAAUAUAUAUCUUUUAACUUGAAAAAAAUUAGGUAAAUAUUUGUGUCUGCAUAUAAGGUGCUCCAAAAUUAUGCUAUAGAUUAAAUUGCUUUACUUAUUGGUAACUUUGAGGGCUACUUUGUAUCUUGUUACAGAUGUUAGUUUUCCUCUUACUAUUUUUAUUAUAAAUCUUAUUAAAUAUGUGUUAUAUAUCUUGUGAGAUUCUAGACAAGAAUAUAAAAACUAUAAAAUAUAAUUGUAUUGUGUCCUCUUUUAUGACAGCAAAAAAUACUAACACUUUGGAAGCUAAGCCUCAAGUCAAUGGCUACAGCAAAACAGCCUGCACAAGGAUCUUUAAAUAACACACAGUAAUGAGAGUCUUUUCCAGAGACACAUUGGAUACCUGUACUACCAGAACUAUCUAAACUUCUCUAAUAAAUUAAUUUAGAUCACUUUUUAAUUACAUACUUCCAAUUCCCUGAAGAGAUGCAUUUUCUGGAUUUUAACAAUAUUCUUCUUUUCAUAGUGUUUCUGAAAUGGAAGUAAAUUAAAUAAAUUAUCCAAGGAAAAUAUUAUAAUUAUAUUUAACUAAAAAAUUAAUAAUAAAUAUAAUAUCUUGAUAAGAAAGAUUGAAAGAGGCUUUUUGCUUAGUUUGAUAUUACUUAUAUAUUUAUCCAUCAGUAAAAAUUUGUAGAGUUAAAUUUCAAUUAUUUAUAUUUUUAACUACAAACAAUUCAAGCUUCUUUUUAGUUAAAUAAAAAUGUUUCAAUUUUUUUUUCUCCCAUUAGUUGUCAGGAACUAGGAGGUGAAUCUAUAGCCAAAUGUAAUUGGAUACAGUCAGUGACUUGUGUACCUAUGUUUUUUAAAAUUUUUAAAUAAAUUUAAAUUUUCUGAUUGCUGAUGGGAUUUCUUGAAUUUGUUAUGGAAAUCUUUGCAUGCCUUUGGAAAAGUUUUGUAUUUAUUGUUACAUUUCAAUUUUGAGAAGAGUUGUUUCAGUGUUAGAAUGAAAUUAUACUUAAAAAUAUUAUUUCUGUGCAUAUAAGAUACUGAUCUCACUAGUUUGAGAGGCUGGGACAAAAUCAGAAUGAAUAGGGAACAUAUAGUAGAGGUUUCAGGACCUGCUAAUAAUUAAAAAUAAGUUGUUGAAAUAA